CCCUGUGUGCCCGCCUACCCUCUCUGCGGGCAGACGGAGGGGCUCGGAGGUCUGCCUACCGGCGGCCUUCGUCCCCAGGCGGGAGGCAGCGGGGAUGCUGCCCCGCAGCCGGGAAAGCGGGUCCCCGCCCCGGCACCGGCCGCUCGGUAGCAAGUUUGGCCCUGGGGCCGAAAAGAAGAGAGGAUGGAGGAUGCUGAUCUCCCGCUGAAAACUCGCGUUGCUCUUCUUGGGGCAACUUUAAGGGCUCGACCCGGAGCGGGGGGGGGAGCAGCCCGGGCGGAGUGGGCUGGCGUGCCAAAAUGCGGGGCGCGCUUCAGCUCUCACAGUGCCGGAUGUGUCCAGGCCAGAGCCGGAGGAGUCAAACGCCCAGACCAGUGUUCAGCACCGCGCCAGGAGAGGUUGCUCGACCUUCCCUCCUCUUUAAUGUAGGAUUCGGGAAAGAGUGACACCAUAUAAGAUCGGCUCCCCCGAUAUAUUAUACCUGCUUUAGUCAAAACGGUGCAGAAGGAUCAGAUUCCCCACACACCAGAAAACCUCCCCCCGGCUUCCUUGGCACGUCCCCCCGAGCAAAAGCUUGCGGGCAGCACCGGGGAGAGACCGGGCAGCUGAAGACACUUCUCACCGCACCAGCGUCAGACAUUGCUGACGGGCUGAUUCUGGAAAGAGGAUGGAUGGGAAGGGUGGGAAACCUCGCCCUCUCCUUGCAUGUGUAGGAGGAUCAGCCGCCUAACUCCUGUCCUCAGGAGCGGGGGGUCUGGGGUUUCUCAAUGAGGAGAAACAGAUAGUCCCUGAAACCGCAGAUUUUAUUUCUGGCAAAAAAUGCUCCCCCAGCCAGGGUUUGUGUGCGAGACAAGUAAUUGUGCUCCCUUGCUUAAAUAAAUCAUUGAUGGGUGAAAUUACACAUGCUCACUUAAAAUGUAAUGUGAUUAAGAGAUUAUGGGAUCGCAGUUAAUAUGUUGCCUCACAGCUUCUGGACCCAAUUCCUGACACCAGAAAUCCAUCAGCCACAACUGUCCCUCCUUGCGGGGAGGCAGCUCCUCCUGCCACCGGCAGCCGUGAGGUUUGGCCGGGAGGGGGGACCGGGGGUCUCCCGCCUCUGCUCCCCGCAGGGGGUCGGAGAAGGUGAGAGGGAGCGUCAGGUUUGCGUUCAAAUAAAUAAUAACUUCUUGCUGUUGUUGUCUGGGGGGAGGAGGAAAAAAAAGUUAAAUGGAAAGGCAGGAGACGGGGUGGGGGGAGGAAGCGAAGGGCUGGGGCUGCGCCUGCAAGCUGAUUACCUCUCAUCUGAAAGCUGCUCCAUUUCCUCACACAUCGGAGCACAGUGA
rnacentral:lncRNA from 13 species